rnacentral:rRNA from 1 species
UAGCUAGUUGGUGGGGUAAGGGCCUACCAAGGCGACGAUCGGUAGCUGGUCUGAGAGGAUGACCGGCCACACUGGAACUGAGACACGGUCCAGACUCCUACGGGAGGCAGCAGUGGGGAAUAUUGGACAAUGGGGGCAACCCUGAUCCAGCAAUGCCGCGUGUGUGAAGAAGGCCUGAGGGUUGUAAAGCACUUUCAGUGGGGAGGAGGGUUGAUAGGUUAAGAGCUAAUUAACUGGACGUUACCCACAGAAGAAGCACCGGCUAACUCCGUGCCAGCAGCCGCGGUAAUACGGAGGGUGCGAGCGUUAAUCGGAAUUACUGGGCGUAAAGGGUGCGUAGGUGGUUGAUUAAGUUAUCUGUGAAAUUCCUGGGCUUAACCUGGGACGGUCAGAUAAUACUGGUUGACUCGAGUAUGGGAGAGGGUAGUGGAAUUUCCGGUGUAGCGGUGAAAUGCGUAGAGAUCGGAAGGAACACCAGUGGCGAAGGCGGCUACCUGGCCUAAUACUGACACUGAGGCACGAAAGCGUGGGGAGCAAACAGGAUUGGAUACCCUGGUAGUCCACGCUGUAAACGAUGUCAACUAGCUGUUGGUUAUAUGAAAAUAAUUAGUGGCGC